UAAUUGAAGAGUUUGAUCAUGGCUCAGAUUGAACGCUGGCGGCAGGCCUAACACAUGCAAGUCGAGCGGCAGCACAGAGGAACUUGUUCCUUGGGUGGCGAGCGGCGGACGGGUGAGUAAUGCCUGGGAAAUUGCCCGGUAGAGGGGGAUAACCAUUGGAAACGAUGGCUAAUACCGCAUAACCUCGCAAGAGCAAAGCAGGGGACCUUCGGGCCUUG
rnacentral:rRNA from 1 species